UGCUUUUAGUUCAGAUUUCUGGCUACCCAGACAGGUUUUGUUGCCUCAAUUUGUCUGAAUUAUCAAGAAAUGUUGAAAAUUUCCUGGGAAGAUGCUUCUGGAAAGGUCAGAAACACUUUGGUUAUCCUUACCCCUUUGCUCAGUAGCAAGUUUUUUUUUGCACAUUCGUUGACUAUCAACUGGCUGUUGUCUACAACUCAAACUACAUAAUGAAUCCAGCGCAUAAAUUAUUUACUGAGAUUUAAUUCCAGGGACUGUUAUCUGUGUAUUUUUUUCUUUGCCAGCUAAUCUGGUUCACUGCAUUGGAAUUUUGGUCAUGCCCGGUUCUCCUUCUGCACUAAAUUAUCUCUAUAACGUAGGAUAAACAGAACAAGCCUGUGUGUGAUAUGCUUAACUGUUAAUUUACCUAAUUAAACUAAUUCAAUUAAAUCAUUUACAUCUUUUUGGUAUCACGCCAGUUGAUACCACUGCAGAAGUGAGAUGUUUUAGAAGAUUAUUGUUCAGCAAAUGAAUGGGGGAAAAUAAUAGAACACAAAAUGAAAGAGAAGUCCAAACCUCUUGGCUUGAA
rnacentral:lncRNA from 1 species